CAGUGGCCAAACCGCCGAGGAACGUCGCCAGGAAACAGGCGAAAAACGGCACGGCUGUGGCGGUGGCCAUGCCGAUGCCCAACUCCAUGGCGGCCGGCGGGGCGAGACAGCCGCGGCCAGCGCCUGGCGCCGACCCUACUAGCCGGCCGGCGGCGCCCGGACGCACCGCCGCCCCGCAGAAGAAAAAGGCACCUCUCAUGGCGAAGGUCUUGCGAGCGAUGGGGCGACGGUGAGGCGCCGCGUCUGAUUGGCCGUCCGGUUUAAC